GAGACCCUUGCCGGUAAUUGCUAGCUGUGAUCGUAAGAUUGCGGAGGCUAGUUACCGGGACUGCCGCUGCUAAAGCGGAGGAAGGAGAGGGCCACGGCAGGUCAGUAUGCCCCGAAACUCCUGGGCCACACGCGGGCUGCAAUGGUAGGGACAGUGGGUCCCGACCUCGAAAGAGGAAGGCAAUCCUCAAACCCUACCCCAGUUGUGAUUGAGGGCUGAAACCCGCCCUCAUGAAUAUGGAAUCCCUAGUAACCGCGUGUCAUCACCGCGCGGUGAAUAC
rnacentral:rRNA from 1 species